rnacentral:rRNA from 1 species
UACGUAGGGGGCAAGCGUUGUCCGGAAUUAUUGGGCGUAAAGCGCGUGUAGGUGGUUCGAUAAGUCUGCUGUGAAAGUCAAGGGCUCAACCCUUGAAAGCCGGUGGAUACUGUUGGACUAGAGUACGGAAGAGGCGAGUGGAAUUCCCGGUGUAGCGGUGAAAUGCGCAGAUAUCGGGAGGAACACCAGCGGCGAAGGCGGCACUCUGGGCUGAGACUGACGCUGAGGAGCGAAAGCGUGGGUAGCGAACAGG